rnacentral:rRNA from 1 species
CCUACGGGGGGCUGCAGUGAGGAAUAUUGGUCAAUGGUCGGGAGACUGAACCAGCCAAGCCGCGUGAGGGAUGAAGGUACAGAGUAUCGUAAACCUCUUUUGUCAGGGAACAAAGGCGGGGACGUGUCCCCGGAUGAGUGUACCUGAAGAAAAAGCAUCGGCUAACUCCGUGCCAGCAGCCGCGGUAAUACGGAGGAUGCGAGCGUUAUCCGGAUUUAUUGGGUUUAAAGGGUGCGCAGGCGGUCUGUUAAGUCAGCGGUAAAAGCCCGGGGCCAAACCCCGGCCCGCCGUUGAAACUGGCAGUCUCGAGUUGGAGAGAAGUAGGCGGAAUGCGCGGUGUAGCGGUGAAAUGCAUAGAGAUCGCGCAGAACUCCGAUUGCGAAGGCAGCAUGCCGGCUCCACACUGACGCUGAGGCACGAAAGCGUGGGUAUCGAACAGGAUUAGAUACCCCAGUAGUC